UUGCUCUCUCACUUCGGCAGCACAUAUACUAAAAUUGGAAAUACAGAGAAGAUUAGCAUGGUCCCUGCGCAAGGAUGACAUGCAGAUUCGUGAAGUGUUCCUCUACUUU
ensembl:snRNA U6 U6 spliceosomal RNA